CAGGCUUUUCCUUUUUAGUUAGGGAUUUCAUUUACACUGGAAUUUUUUGUCGUGCAAUUCGAUGUGGUCUGA
rnacentral:tRNA from 1 species